UGGGGAAUAUUGGACAAUGCGGGAAACCGUGAUCCGGCAAUGCCGCGUGAGUGAUGAAGGCCUUAGGGUUGUAAAGCUCUUUUACCAGGGAUGAUAAUGACAGUACCUGGAGAAUAAGCUCCGGCUAACUCCGUGCCAGCAGCCGCGGUAAUACGGAGGGAGCUAGCGUUGUUCGGAAUUACUGGGCGUAAAGCGCGCGUAGGCGGCUAUUCAAGUCAGGGGUGAAAUCCCGGGGCUCAACCCCGGAACUGCCCUUGAAACUAGGUAGCUAGAAUACUGGAGAGGCGAGUGGAAUUCCCGGUGUAGCGGUGAAAUGCGCAGAUAUCGGGAGGAACACCAGUAGCGAAGGCGGCUCGCUGGGCCAUUCCUGACGCUGAGACGCGAAAGCGUGGGGAGCAAACAGGAUUAGAUACCCCGGUAGUCC
rnacentral:rRNA from 1 species